rnacentral:lncRNA from 1 species
CUCAUAUGUUCGAUCCUGCUCUUGGUUUUAGCAGCUUUCCGCGUAAAUGCAGAUCUAAUUCCAAUGCACACAAAGGCACAGCUGAUAUUUCGCAGUGGAUUCGUCACACUGACCAGGUGUGUCUCUGAAGAUUAGUCCAUUUGCCUGUUUCCUCACUUUGACAAGAGGUGGUCAAGGUUUCCUCACUACAUUUGUCCUACAUGCAUUUUUGCGUUGCCUGGUUGUUUGCUAACCAGGAGAAAAUCCCCUCCUGUGAUCAUAUAUAAGGUGGAACCUGACAGCACGACUCCGCUCCACCCACCUCAACUGAGACUCUCGGCUGACGUUUCCUACGCUGUAUUUGACUGUGAAAGCAUGCUGAAGGUAGCGUUUGUGCUCGGGUGCAUCCUGUGCCUUGCUUUGGCCAAUCCUAUUGAUGAUAAGUCGCCAAAACGGGUUGCACGCUCAGGUGAACGCUAUGGCUUUAGGGGUGGUUUCAUGCCGUACAUGUAUUACCCUUCUUAUCCCCGUCCUCAAAGCAAUCCUUGGUUGUCCCUCCUGCUGGCCCAGCUUUUGAUACCACCUGCUGCCACUACAACCGUGGCCACAACUACGACAACCACUGCUAAGCCCUAAGAUGAUCAUUAUCCCUCAUGAAAACUAGAUUGAGCUGUUUUCAAUGUGUGGAUCACAAAAUCAAAUGAAUCAUGUUGACUACAGUAAAUAAACAUGAAUGUGAC